rnacentral:lncRNA from 1 species
UAGGUACAUGUGCUGUCACAGAAAUGGUAUGAGGGUGACAGACCUCGAUUUCCUCAUUUGUUGCUUUGGUUUGAAGUUCUGUACAAGAAAUGUUGCUGCAUCCCCUCACUCAGAGGGGAAGGGACCUGUGGUGGAUGCCCUGCAAAGCAGAGGAGUGCCAGCUGGGGCUGCAGGAGGAAGCUUUCCCUGCCUCUGCCUCUUUUACAGGUGCUUUUCCUAAUGCCAGCAUGGAUCAAACCCAGGUGCUGCAGCCCAUGGCAAGGAGGGAGGAGUGGGAGCAGCAGGGCAGGAAUCCCCUGCUUUCCCACCAGGUGAGUGUCCAGCAGGGCAGGAAUCCCCUGCUUUCCCACCAGGUCUUUUUUCAGCAACAAGUAUUAGAAGUUGUGAAUUUUUUGCCUGAUCUACCUGAUGUGUGCUGCUGUUUCCAGGUGAAAUGUCUGAUGUAGUUCUGAUUGUUGAGGUGCUAGCCUGUCACAUCCCUUCAGUGUCCAAGCUGAAGUAAAGAAGAAGUAAAUAUUCAAUGUCAGCUUUCAUGGAAUGAAAUAAUUGGUUGCAUAACAUUAAAGAGUUUUUAAAGGAAUAUUUACCUCAGUAUUAUGG